CCCUGUCUUCUUGGCAAGCAUUGGAAUCUAACGGUAAAGACCUCUUCAAACCAUGGGUCGAAGUGCCAAAUUGACGCCCAUUGGAUCGCUGCUCGAUGUGACUUGAUGCUGAGUGACCCUCACUGAAGGCUCGUAGCUACAGCCAAACGAUGUGCCUUACUGACGCCCAUUUCUAACCGCCCACUCCAAUCUUCUACACUCUCUCUCUCUCUCUCUCGUGUCUGAAUAAUAAAUUCAGAGAAACCCUAUCACUCUAUCGCUUUCUCCUCCGACCCAAAUCCUACUCUCUCCGCUCUUCUUGAUUUUGUUUGCAGGUUUUCAUCAUUGUAGCUAAUCCUAACUUAUUUUCUACAUUUUCAGGUAUUCAAAACCCUAGCUAUUGAUUGUAGCGUAAAGUAUAGUUCAUUGAGAGCUUUUGUCUUCUCCUCCCUGCCUGUGAGAGUUCUGACUUCAGUCAUGGUAUUUCUCUACAUAUCUCAAACAAACAGUGAAGAUGAAUCAUUGCAGUCUACAGAGCCCCUUCAUCCUGUGAUGAGAGGAGCCCCUGGUUUUGGCCUCUUGAAUCAUGCCAUCAAUGACUCAAUCAGACCUUUGAGAUGGCAGUUAUGUCAUCUGCUCACCUAGAAGACAAUACAUAUGAUUGAGUUGAAGAGAUUAGCAUCAUAAGGCAUACUGGACGGUACUGGAACUUGUCCUAGCAUAUGAAAGGCGAUGACUUCUUCAGUUCUUUGAACUACUACAGCCUUUAACUGAUGUUUGGUUAAUGACCUAUUCAUAAAGAUAGAUUUUGUUUGUUGUUUUUUUUCCCUUCCUGUAAUUAAUGAAAUUUGUUCAUUUUUAUUCAAUUGAACUUCUCAUUUGAGUUAUGGAUAUCGGAAAGUUCAUUUUUUCCUUGA